rnacentral:tRNA from 1 species
GAGAAGUUAGUUAAUUUAUAACAUUAGAUUGUCAAGCUAAAAUUAUCAAAAGAUAUUUCUCU